UAUGCAGGUCCGCAGUUGUCUUCGUUUCAGCUGUCAUCGGCUUGUAGAUGAAAUAUUCACUUAAAAUCACUGCCAUGAUUAAGUGCUGCGAAAGCCAGUCACUGCUGAGGAUGUGUGAGAUGGCCUGCAGUCUUUGAGUGGCGUAAUCCACAAACUGCUGCUUCAGGGCCCUUUCUUUGGAGCUGUUGGUCCAGGUGACCCUUUCAUACAGCAGUGACCAACACGCCCACCGAUGCUCUGGAUGUGAACGAGACCAGUCCUGUUGCCAUGGAGAUAGCCAGCUCGUCCUGGGUCUGAGCAGAGGAAGAGGACGUUAAGACACCAGCUCCUCAAUCCUGUUACGCUGAUCACACAGACAAGCUGUCACUCAGAACCGUGUCAAAAGCAGUAGACUCGGCACUGUGUGACCCACUGUGCUGGAGCCUACCAGUCUCUGGCAUUCCCUGAGCGCGGUGGAUCCUGGCACUCAACACCUCCUUGGCAGAGACAAAGAAGAUGCGGUCAGGUGCCUUGUGAAGGUCCACUACCUUCAGCUCCUCCACUAAGAAACUGACACAGCGAUCCAUGUGCUGUUUCCGCACCUAAAAGAGCAUCUCUGACCACUGUAUAAACCCAUAAAAGAGGCACUAGGACCCUGAAGAUGAGGAUGACGGAGAGAGAAAGGGCUGGCAGAGACAAACGAAUGAGCUAAACACAAGACAAACGAAAGAAGGGACCAAGGAACUCAGUGUAGGAGACAGAGAGAGAGAUCAGAUAAAUUGAGAGUUCAGAUAAAUAGCAUGGAGGCUGAAGAGAGACAAAGUGACAGGUCAAGAUUCAGCGGCAGAUAUCAGGAGGAGUGGACAAACUAGAAAAGGAGGAGGAGGAGUCUGGUCUGAGAGGAAGCUAAAAAGAGAGGAGCGCGAAAAGGAGCCCUUCAAAACAGAAAAAUCCUUUCUGAGAGGGCCACUGACAGAUGUGGAAUAACCUGGAGCCUGGCAAAGGGGACCUCGACUGGCAAAAAAUAAAAAAAAAUAUCAUCACUGAAGGAAUUACUGAAAAUAUAAACAGACAGAACUGUGCAGAGGCACCAGGGAAAAGCAGAAGACAAUCAAACACUAUUAAAACAGAGAGAAGAAGUGGAGAUACCACCCACAGAGAGAGACUGAGUAUACCACACACACAGGGUUUAUCACAGGUAAUCACACCGCAACUCAGCAACAGACACUAACAAUCAACAAAUACAUUCACACAACCACACACAUGUAUUUAUGGAAUACACACCUACACACAGUGGGUGACUAUAACACAUACGCUGAACAUCCAUAACUCAAGCUCAGACAGUUUAGACUAUAAUCAGGAGGCACAGAGAAUCUUGGCUGUCAGAGGACAGACUGACUGUGAAUGGGUAGAAGAGUAGUGAGGCCCUAUGGACAACGCUCAUGGCUCUCUGACUUCUCCGUGCUGAGGACAAUCAAAACAUGAACUAAUCUGAGGACGGAUUUUCUUCUCCAUCUCAAAAACCACCCCGGAAAUGAAAGUAGAACAUUGGUAGAUCACAGACCAAAUCAUCAAGUUCCACUAUCAGCUAAAGGACUCUGUUCA